AUUUCUUCUCAGGCCUUUGGAUUAGGAUCAAGUAUAGUUUCUGUUUAUUAUCAGUUUACUAUCUGAUAUAUCAUUUAUCAGAGAAUAACAUAUUAAAAGAUUUAUGGAGCAGGGAAAUGGAGAUAGAGCUUGCUCUCUCCACUCCCUGAAUCGAACUGGUAUUACAGUACCUCCAGGAAUAGUAAACUUUCU